rnacentral:rRNA from 1 species
AGAGUUUGAUCAUGGCUCAGAAUCAACGCUGGCGGCGUGCCUAACACAUGCAAGUCGUACGCGAAAGGGGAGCAAUCCCUGAGUAGAGUGGCAAACGGGUGAGUAACACGUGGGUGACCUGCCUCAGAGUGGGGGAUAACGUCCCGAAAGGGACGCUAAUACCGCAUAACAUCCUGCCUUUGGAAAGGCGGAGAUCAAAGCCGGGGAUCGCAAGACCUGGCGCUUGGAGAGGGGCCCGCGUCUGAUUAGCUAGUUGGUAGGGUAAUGGCCUACCAAGGCGACGAUCAGUAUCCGGCCUGAGAGGGCGGACGGACACACUGGGACUGAGACACGGCCCAGACUCCUACGGGAGGCAGCAGUGGGGAAUUGUUCGCAAUGGGCGCAAGCCUGACGACGCAACGCCGCGUGGAGGAUGAAGAUCUUCGGGUCGUAAACUCCUGUCGAGCGGGAAGAACACUUUCCGGGUGAACAAUCCGGAGGGCUGACGGUACCGCUAAAGGAAGCCCCGGCUAACUCCGUGCCAGCAGCCGCGGUAAUACGGGGGGGGCAAGCGUUGUUCGGAAUUACUGGGCGUAAAGGGCUCGUAGGCGGCCAACUAAGUCGGACGUGAAAUCCCCAGGCUCAACCUGGGAACUGCGUCCGAUACUGGAUGGCUUGAAUCCGGGAGAGGGAUGCAGAAUUCCAGGUGUAGCGGUGAGAUGCGUAGAUAUCUGGAGGAAUACCGGUGGCGAAGGCGGCAUCCUGGACCGGCAUUGACGCUGAGGAGCGAAAGCCAGGGGAGCAAACGGGAUUAGAUACCCCGGUAGUCCUGGCCCUAAACGAUGAAUGCUUGGUGUAACGGGUAUCGAUCCCUGUGUGCCGAAGCUAACGCAUUAAGCAUUCCGCCUGGGGGAGUACGUCGCAAGGCUGAAACUCAAAAUGAUGACGG